AUGGAUUUGGUUUUGGAUAAGGCUAACAGGGAGAUAAUACUCCCUGUUAUUCAAAGAAGUGUGACCAUAGCAAGCCGAACUACAAAAGAACUUAUUCUGAAGGAUUAUGCACUGGAGUCUGAUAACAAUACGAUAACUCGAUCCGCACAUUUGAUGGUUGGAACAUUAGCCGGAAGUCUGGCACAUGUUACUUGCAAGGAACCUCUUCGCGUUGCACUAUAUUCUAAUCUACGGAAUCUCAUUCAGAACCUUAUGAGCGGCAGUGAAACUAUCGAGCAACUUAUUCACACGCUAAUCAAUGAUAACUUGGAUCUUGGCUGUGCCAUCAUUGAGGUUGUGGCAACACGUCAGGUAGCUUCUUGACAAUUCUAAUUCUGC